rnacentral:rRNA from 1 species
AGUGAACGCUGGCGGUAUGCCUAGCACAUGCAAGUCGAACGGCAGCACAGUAAGAGCUUGCUCUUACGGGUGGCGAGUGGAGGACGGGUGAGGAAUACAGCGGAAUCUACUUUUUCGUGGGGGGUAACGUAGGGAAACUUACGCUAAUACCGCAUACGACCUGCGGGUGAAAGCAGGGGAUCUUCGGACCUUGCGCGAUUGCAUGCGCCGAUGUCGGAGUAGCUAGUUGGCGGGGUAAAGGCCCACCAAGGCGACGAUCCGUAGCUGGUCUGAGAGGAUGAUCAGCCACACUGGAACUGAGACACGGUCCAGACUCCUACGGGAGGCAGCAGUGGGGAAUAUUGGACAAUGGGGGGAAGCCUGAUCCAGCCAUACCGGGUGGGUGAAGAAGGCCUUCGGGUUGUAAAGCCCUUUUGUUGGGAAAGACAAGCAGCAGGUUAAUACCACGCUGUUCUGACGGUACCCAAAGAAUAAGCACCGGCUAACUUCGUG